GAUGAACGCUGGCGGCGUGCUUAACACAUGCAAGUCGAACGAUGAAGCCCAGCUUGCUGGGUGGAUUAGUGGCGAACGGGUGAGUAACACGUGAGUAACCUGCCCUUAACUCUGGGAUAAGCCUGGGAAACUGGGUCUAAUACCGGAUAGGAGCGUCCACCGCAUGGUGGGUGUUGGAAAGAUUUAUCGGUUUUGGAUGGACUCGCGGCCUAUCAGCUUGUUGGUGAGGUAAUGGCUCACCAAGGCGACGACGGGUAGCCGGCCUGAGAGGGUGACCGGCCACACUGGGACUGAGACACGGCCCAGACUCCUACGGGAGGCAGCAGUGGGGGAUAUUGCACAAUGGGCGCAAGCCUGAUGCAGCGACGCCGCGUUAGGGAUGACGGCCUUCGGGUUGUAAACCUCUUUCAGUAGGGAAGAAGCGAAAGUGACGGUACCUGCAGAAGAAGCACCGGCUAACUACGUG
rnacentral:rRNA from 1 species